rnacentral:rRNA from 1 species
GUGAGGAAUAUUGCGCAAUGGACGAAAGUCUGACGCAGCCAUGUCGCGUGAAGGAUUGACGGCCCUAUGGGUUGUAAACUUCUUUUGUAUAGGAAUAAACCCUCGUUCGUGAACGAGGCUGAAGGUACUAUAAGAAUAAGCACCGGCUAACUCCGUGCCAGCAGCCGCGGUAAUACGGAGGGUGCAAGCGUUAUCCGGAUUUAUUGGGUUUAAAGGGUCCGUAGGCGGAUCGUUAAGUCAGUGGUGAAAUCCUACCGCUCAACGGUAGAACUGCCAUUGAUACUGGCGAUCUUGAGUAUGUAUGAAGUUGGCGGAAUGUGUGGUGUAGCGGUGAAAUGCUUAGAUAUCACACAGAACACCGAUUGCGAAGGCAGCUGACUAAUACACAACUGACGCUGAGGGACGAAAGUGUGGGGAUCAAACAGGAUUAGAAACCCCUGUAGUCC